rnacentral:rRNA from 1 species
GACGAACGCUGGCGGCGUGCUUAACACAUGCAAGUCGAACGAAGAGCGACGGAAGCUUGCUUCUAUCAAUCUUAGUGGCGAACGGGUGAGUAACGCGUAAUCAACCUGCCCUUCAGAGGGGGACAACAGUUGGAAACGACUGCUAAUACCGCAUACGAUCUAACCUCGGCAUCGAGGAUAGAUGAAAGGUGGCCUCUACAUGUAAGCUAUCACUGAAGGAGGGGAUUGCGUCUGAUUAGCUAGUUGGAGGGGUAACGGCCCACCAAGGCGAUGAUCAGUAGCCGGUCUGAGAGGAUGAACGGCCACAUUGGGACUGAGACACGGCCCAGACUCCUACGGGAGGCAGCAGCGGGGAAUCUUCCGCAAUGGACGAAAGUCUGACGGAGCAACGCCGCGUGAGUGAUGACGGCCUUCGGGUUGUAAAGCUCUGUUAAUCGGGACGAAAGGCCUUCUUGCGAAUAGUGAGAAGGAUUGACGGUACCGGAAUAGAAAGCCACGGCUAACUACGUG